rnacentral:rRNA from 1 species
AAGCCGUUGGCGGGUCCUUACACAUGCAGUCGAACGAUGAAGCCUAGCUUGCUGGGUGGAUUAGUGGCGAACGGGUGAGUAACACGUGAGCAACCUGCCCCUGACUCUGGGAUAAGCGCUGGAAACGGCGUCUAAUACUGGAUAUGUCCCAUCACCGCAUGGUGUGUGGGUGGAAAGAUUUUUCGGUUGGGGAUGGGCUCGCGGCCUAUCAGCUUGUUGGUGAGGUAAUGGCUCACCAAGGCGUCGACGGGUAGCCGGCCUGAGAGGGUGACCGGCCACACUGGGACUGAGACACGGCCCAGACUCCUACGGGAGGCAGCAGUGGGGAAUAUUGCACAAUGGGCGGAAGCCUGAUGCAGCAACGCCGCGUGAGGGAUGACGGCCUUCGGGUUGUAAACCUCUUUUAGCAGGGAAGAAGCGAGAGUGACGGUACCUGCAGAAAAAGCACCGGCUAACUACGUGCCAGCAGCCGCGGUAAU